rnacentral:rRNA from 1 species
AUUGAACGCUGGCGGCAUGCCUUACACAUGCAAGUCGAACGGCAGCACGGGUGCUUGCACCUGGUGGCGAGUGGCGAACGGGUGAGUAAUACAUCGGAACAUGUCCUGUAGUGGGGGAUAGCCCGGCGAAAGCCGGAUUAAUACCGCAUACGAUCUACGGAUGAAAGCGGGGGACCUUCGGGCCUCGCGCUAUAGGGUUGGCCGAUGGCUGAUUAGCUAGUUGGUGGGGUAAAGGCCUACCAAGGCGACGAUCAGUAGCUGGUCUGAGAGGACGACCAGCCACACUGGGACUGAGACACGGUCCAGACUCCUACGGGAGGCAGCAGUGGGGAAUUUUGGACAAUGGGCGAAAGCCUGAUCCAGCAAUGCCGCGUGUGUGAAGAAGGCCUUCGGGUUGUAAAGCACUUUUGUCCGGAAAGAAAUCCUUGGCCCUAAUACGGUCGGGGGAUGACGGUACCGGAAGAAUAAGCACCGGCUAACUACGUG